AUUGAACGCUGGCGGCAUGCUUUACACAUGCAAGUCGAACGGUAGCAGGCCGCAAGGUGCUGACGAGUGGCGAACGGGUGAGUAAUGCAUCGGAACGUGCCCAGUCGUGGGGGAUAACUACUCGAAAGAGUAGCUAAUACCGCAUACGAUCUAUGGAUGAAAGCGGGGGACCGUAAGGCCUCGCGCGAUUGGAGCGGCCGAUGUCAGAUUAGGUAGUUGGUGGGGUAAAGGCUCACCAAGCCAACGAUCUGUAGCUGGUCUGAGAGGACGACCAGCCACACUGGGACUGAGACACGGCCCAGACUCCUACGGGAGGCAGCAGUGGGGAAUUUUGGACAAUGGGCGCAAGCCUGAUCCAGCAAUGCCGCGUGCAGGAAGAAGGCCUUCGGGUUGUAAACUGCUUUUGUACGGAAAGAAACGGCUCUGGUUAAUACCCGGGGCUAAUGACGGUACCGGAAGAAUAAGCACCGGCUAACUACGUG
rnacentral:rRNA from 1 species